GGGUCGAUGAUGAGACCUCACAUUGUCCUGAAGAGAGGUGAUGACUUAAAAAUCACGCUCAAUAGGAUUACGCUGAGGCCC
rnacentral:snoRNA from 1 species